GCUCCAGGACCAAGGUCAGCACCAGGCGCGAAAAUUAUCGAAGCCCGCCUAGGGGCGAUAGUGAGGAGACGUGUAUAACGAAGUACGUGUAAAGACGUCCUAAUACCUGGAGGUCAAGUCUGGUGCCAGCAUCCGCGGUAAUUCCAGCUCCAGGGGUGUCUAUGAUGAUUGCUGCGAUUAAAAAGUCCGUAGUCAAACUGACUGACUGACCUGCAAUGUGAUUGAUUAAAGAACGAGCAGGGUUAGGAAAGCAGAGAAUUAGGAGCGACCGAGGGCUAGAGUAUUGAAUGGCGAGAGGUGAAAUUUGAUGACCCAUUCAGGAGUGACAAAGGCGAAGGCACUAGUCAAGGGCGAAUCCGAUGAUCAAGGACGUAGGCUAGAGUUUCGAAAACGAUUAGAGACCGGAGUAGUUCUAGCAGUAAACUAUGCCGACGCCGUGAUAUUGUUUUUUGUGGCAGUAUUGCGGAAGAGAAAUCAAGUAAGGCUUUGGGGAGAGUACGCGCGCAAGCGAUAAAUUUAAAGGAAAUGACGGAGGAACACCACAA
rnacentral:rRNA from 1 species